rnacentral:rRNA from 1 species
UACGGUGAAUACGUUCCCGGACCUUGCACACACCGCCCGUCAAGCCAUGGAAGCUGGGUGUACCUAAAGUCGGUAACCGUAAGGAGCCGCCUAGGGUAAACUAGUAACUGGGCU